rnacentral:lncRNA from 1 species
GCGGCCCACAAGGGCAGUAGCUAGGAAGGCUGUGCCCCGCUGGGGGUUGGGUGAGACGAAACCAGGGAACCCCCCUCCAGGAGGCAUGCGGAACUCUGACCUCUCAUUUGGGGGUGCCCCCUAGCCCUCUCUACACACCUCCUCCCCCGCUUCCUACCCCACCCAAAUCUGCGCACUCAAGAAGCAACCAAACUUGAGAACUGUGCUGUUGCAUCCUCAGGCAAAUGAUUUCUUCUGUAAAUGUCUUCUCGGCAUGUCUAUGAAGAGACAUCCUCAGAGCCAAACUGCCUUCAUCGUCAUCACAUCUGUUUGCAAGAGACAGUCAUAGCUGACGAUGUUGACUGUGACCUACUUUUAUAUAAGGGGCACAGAGCAUCAUGGGACUUUCAUGUGAGUAUCCAGACACCCCCCCCAAGCCAGCUGUUUGAAAUUCUAAUUGUACAAAGCCUCAAGGAGUCUGUGAUGGCUAAUCUUGGUUGUCAACUUGAAUAUAUCUAGAAUCAACUAAAUCCCAAGCAGCUAGGGGUUGAGAAAAUUUCAUGAUCGAAUCAUAUGAGGUCAGAAGACUCACUCUAAAUCUGGGCUACACCUUCUGGUGGCAUCCCACAUAAAAAGGACACGGAACAAGGAAAGUUUUGCUUUUUGCCUGCUUGUCUUCACUCUCGGUGGCAAGUUCAUCUAGUCUGCUGCUGUGGCAUUCUUUCACUGGUGUUAGAACCUACUCCUUCAUGACUGAAGACUAGCCAGGUGGGCUGAAUACUACUAAAUUCAUGGCCUUUUUUUUUUUUUUUUUUUUUUUGAGCGAGAGAUAAUUCACUGUUGGACUAGACAGAAGACAGCCUGUUAGCCACUCUUAUAAAUUACCUUUAAUAUAAUAUUCUUUCUAUCAGUUCUGUUUCUUUAGAGAUCCCUGAUUAAUACAGAGAGGCUGGAGUAUAUAGAUGGGAAAAGGACUAGAGCAGGGAGCUCCAUCUAUGCAACCUCAGGGAAGAUAUCAACCAUUCUGGGUACAGAUCAUCCAGUGUGGCCUUCAGGCUACCUAUGCGACUCCCUGUAACACCUCACCCAUUGCCAUGUAAUAAGUCUAAUAAAGUCAUUGGUUUCC